GUCGUCGUAGCUCAGUCGGUUGGAGCGCGGAGCUGAUAACUCCGAGGGCGGAGGUUCGAUCCCUCCCGACGGCA
rnacentral:tRNA from 1 species